rnacentral:rRNA from 1 species
UUACAUGCAAGUCGAGCGACAGAUAAGGAGCUUGCUCCUUUGACGUUAGCGGCGGACGGGUGAGUAACACGUGGGUAACCUACCUAUAAGACUGGAAUAACUCCGGGAAACCGGGGCUAAUGCCGGAUAACAUUUAGAACCGCAUGGUUCUAAAGUGAAAGAUGGUUUUGCUAUCACUUAUAGAUGGACCCGCGCCGUAUUAGCUAGUUGGUAAGGUAACGGCUUACCAAGGCAACGAUACGUAGCCGACCUGAGAGGGUGAUCGGCCACACUGGAACUGAGACACGGUCCAGACUCCUACGGGAGGCAGCAGUAGGGAAUCUUCCGCAAUGGGCGAAAGCCUGACGGAGCAACGCCGCGUGAGUGAUGAAGGUCUUCGG